AAAUAAUUUAAAUGUUGUCUUUAGCACAUUUGCAUUCAUAAAAAGUGCUUGAAUAUGCUUCUUGCUUCCUCUUCUCCUGCUUAGCUGUCAAAACAUGGUGAUGCUUUUGAAGAUUUAUGGUAGAUUGGGUAAUGAGAUUGCUGAAUGUUAACCGCAGCAUUCAGAAUUCAUUUGGUGGCAAAAGAAAAGAAGGUUACUGGAUCUUUGGAAUAGAGUAGAGAGAUGAUAGAGCUUUUUUUAAUCAGCCAAUUUAAAAAUAAAUAUGCUAUAUUCUGGAUUAGGAAACAUUUCAAGCUUCUUGUCAUGUAGUAAUCAAAUAGAACAUUUCCUGAAGAAUAUAGGAUGUCAAAUUAUAUUCAUUUCAGCAAAAUUCCUGACAGCUUACAGUAAUGCCAUAUUUUGCAGUGUAGAUGUAUGCAAAUCUUAAUAUUGGAUGAGAAAGACUGAACAGUCCACAGGCAUGUGGAACAUUUUUUUAUUAUUAUGAAAAUCUCAGGUAUACAGAAUUAUAUUUCAACAGCUGUGCACACUAGAGUCCUCAUCCCACACGUUUAGGC
rnacentral:lncRNA from 1 species